rnacentral:snRNA from 1 species
GCCUCUUCCCUGGCUCCC